rnacentral:lncRNA from 1 species
CAUGCCUCCUUAAUUAAAAUUUCCUCCCUCUCUGUCUCUGGAGCCAUACGCGAGGAGGAGGAGCUUGGGUGGAGCGUUCGUCGCCGACGUCGCAUCGCCAAGCCGUUUGAGCGCACGUUUGUCGCCAUAGCGUCGCGUGGAGGCCGGGCGAGGGUGCGUUUUCGCCAUCCUCGACGUCGCACCGGCGCUGGAUUCGCUGUCGAUGUGGGUACCUAACUUUCCUCCUUGGAUUACUUGAACGCACGAUUUUGAGCUCGCGUGCUGAUUUUACUGAUUUUCAGCGUCGGCCAUCAGUGUUUCGGCUCGUACUCGGCGUAGGAAAGUCGGAUUUCGACGGGACUUGGUUCGUUGGAUUCAGGACUUCGAGAGGAAUCCACGAAGCCCUUAUUUGCUGGAUUUAGUGAAGGUUUGCUAGGUCGUAUCCCUAUUUCUUUCUGCUGCUGCUGUUUUGGGCAGAAUUGAUGCUUAAUAUGGGUUUCUAUGUUUAGACCCGUGGAGCGUGUUGUCGCUGGUUCGGGGAGCUGCGCCGAGCUUGACAGGGACUCCGGUGACCUUCUUCACCGUCGGGGAUUUGCGAUUAAGGUGGGUUAAUCAUCGGUUUACUCCUAAGUGCCUAUAUAGUCGACAUGUAAUUGUGGAAUUAUCUUGUGUGGCGCAAUUGCUCGGUUCAUUGAUUUAGUAUGGUUAAUAAUCUGAAUUGGAGCUGAGUUAUUAUCUUUGGAUAUAUAUAUACAUGUUGGACUUGGAUAAGACUUAGGAGAAAACUCGCGAUUAUGAUCGUCAUAUAUUUAAACUACCUGAUUUAGCCCUAGGGGCCGUUGUAUUAUUUUAUACUGUAGCAGUAUCCUCAUAGUGAGUAUUCCAGAUAGUUUAGCUUUCAGUUACGCUCGUGCCGGGAUGCCGAGUAUAUUUUUACAGUAGCGUUCAGGCUGUUCCGGACUGUUGGGUGCCGUCGGGGUUGACGGUGGACCCGUAUCGCCUUUUUGGCGUCGGAUUGUGCCGAGGGCACGUUACCUGUUGGUUGUUAGACCAGUUUGAGUCGGUUACUGGACUUUGGCUUUUGAGAGCCUGAUUGAGCUCGACAGAGAUACGCUGCAUACUCGGUUGGGUAGCUCCCACGAGUGCCACUCCGGAGACGGGCGCUGUGCUUUCGCGUUCGUGUCGCUCAUGCCGGUUGGACUUGCUCUCCACGGACUAGUAGUGUGGAGGUAGCUGGAUAGUCACAACUGAGCAGGGACGGGUGUGUUCACAGUCCCAGGGACGGGUAUGCUUACAGUCCCGAUUGGAUUGGGUCAAAUUUGACAUUUCCUACAGUUGGUUAAUGUAGAGCAUGAUAGUGUAGUGAUUCAUAGCAGUAGAUUUUAUUCCUGUAUUGACUACUAUCCUGGCUCCCUUCUGUAGACUUAGUGGGUAGACCGAUGUGGUUUAGGGCGGCACCCACUAAGGACUACCUGUUUUUAUAGUAGUUCUCACGCCCUGUUGUUACACAUUAUUUUUGCAGAGCCAUCGUCGUCGGCUGCUGCUAUCGCAGAUCAGGAUCGAGGCAAGGGCGUCACGAGUUAGAGCACUACCCGACAUGCCAAGCUAGAGGUACCCUACUGCUGGUAGAUAUUUUAUUUUGAGUUCAUGUACAUAGUAUACUUAACUCGCCAGUGCGAGUAGCUCUGUAUUUUGAUUUUUGGACUAUGUAUAUGGAUCUCCGUUUAUUUAGCUUCUGUUUACUCUAGCAGCUCUAUACUACUGUUUGUAGUAUUGUUUGGUUUACAGAUACAGCUGUCGCUUCGUAUACAGGAAAAAUUCCUUUGCAUACGGCGGAUUUGUCGGCGUGCCCGUGGAACGUGUAAUCCGGGGCGUGACAGAUUAAGUUGGUAUCAAAGCUUAGCUGUAGGUCGUUGGGACCUAGAAAACCUAAGUUUGGCAAACCUUAGGAAGGCAAGACGCGAGAGGCGUAAUUUAUUGCGAAAGUCAAUGAUUAAUUGUUCUAACUCCUCCUAGAGUGGAGUGAGUGAUUGAAGGAGUUCCUGUUUUGGCUUGAGAAAUUAUGUUAGCUGCAGACGACAUAAUUUUGGAGGGAAACAGGGGGCCGCCUUCUAGACUUUCUUUUGAUUGGGUUGAGAGUGUUUGUAUUGUAUCUGACCUCUAUCUGUUUCUUGCAGCUAUGUAUCGUCGCCGAGGUCGACCGUCAUUAUGAGAGCGUGCGCAGUUGGCGCAGGAUCGUGCUAGAUCUUCCGAGAUGCCUGAGCAGAUGGAGCAGGGUACUCGGCAGGAGCAGGGUGACAGGCCGGAGGCGAGUGCACCCCCUGUUGUGGAGCCGAGUGCGCGACCUGAGGCUAGCGCACCCCCUGAUCUGAGUGCACAGUUAGCUGCCCUGACUGAGGUGACGAGGCAGCAGGGGGAGUUGUUGCAGAGGUUGUGUGAGAGGGUGGCUCAGACACCGAGUGCUGCACCGAGAGUACCAGAGCAGACUGUUCCGCCACCGACUACUCCAGUGUCAGCUCCAGCCACAGCUAUGCCCCCACCAGUGGAACUUCCUGCAGUGCCAACUGCGCCUGCUAGGGGGCCCGUACAGUUGACUGAUGCCGAGCAGGAGCGGUGGACGAAGAGGUUGGCUCGUUUUCGCCGUUUUGAUCCACCGAUUUACGAUAGCAGAUGUACUGAGGCCUGGGUUGUUGAGGGAUGGGUCAGUGCGAUGGAGAAGCUAUUUGAGGAUCUGUUCAUUCCGGAGGGGGAGUAGGUACCUCUGGGAGUACACUGUUUGGCAGGUGAUGCUCAUGACUGGUGGCGGAGAGCAAGGCGAGACCAGGGGCUGGUGGCGGCGCAGCUGAGGUGGGAUGAGUUCUGUGGAAUGCUGUUUGGGAUGUUCUUUCCCAACAGUGUGAAGCAGAAGCUCGAGGAGGAUUUGAGGAGGCUUCAGCAGGGAGAUCGCCCAGUGCAGGAGUAUGUUCGGGAGUUUACUCGACUCCUGAACUGUGUACCAUUUGCGGCCAGAGACGAAGCGCACAUGGUGUAUAUGUUCGAGCAGGGGCUGAGACUGGAUAUCUUUAGGUUGACUCGGACGCAGAGGUCGAGGACUCUGGAUGCGUCUAUAGAGCAGGCCUUGUGGGUGGAGCGAGGUAAGACAUCGCUACAGGAGAGGACUCAGGCCGUGGGGCAGAGUCAGGAUAGGAAGCGCCCUUUUUCAGAUGACGGAGGACAGUCGAGCAGCAAACGUCCGCCGAGGCCUCCACGAUCACGUUCUCAAGGUCGUGGGUCUUCGGGGCGUCAGCGUUCCAAGGGAUCCCGUCAGCAGGGGCAGACUCAAAGUACGCCACAGUGUGUGAUCUACGGGGGACCACACUGGCCCCGACAGUGCGAGCAGAGAGAGGGCAAGUGCUACGGAUGUGGUCAGCCGAGACACGUGAGGGCAGCUUGUCCCCGAGCAGCGUCUCCAGCACCAUCAUCAGCUUAAGCACCACCAGCACCACAGCAGUCUUACGGCGCAGCACCAAGUUACCGCCAGGAGGACAGAUCGUCUGUGCCGCGGUCGAGUGAGCGGCGACAACAGGCUCCGAGUGGUAGGGUCUACGCAGCUCAGGUGGAGGACUCUACAGCAGCCGACCGAGUGGUGGCAGGUAUCACUUUGAUUUCUGGCAUUAGAGUUCGCACUCUUUUUUAUACCGGUGCAUCGCAUUCCUUUGUUAACCGAACAUUUACACAGUUGCAUGGUCUAGAGUUAGGAGCGUUGUCUCAGGCACGAGAGGUGCAGAUCCCAGACCAUGUUUUGCAGGUGAUGGAGUGUUGUUGGUCAUGUCCGGUGCAGUUAGACUCGUGGAUUAUGCCCGCAGACCUGUUGGUGUUAGGGCAGCUACAGGACUUCGACGUCGUGCUCGGUAUGGAUUGGCUGGCGCGGUACUAUGCUACGAUCGACUGUGGAGCGAGGACGGUGACGUUUCGCGAGCCAGGCCAGGAGGAGUUCACUUUCAGAGGCUGUAGGAGCACGCUGUUUGCUACUUAGAUAUCUUCGGCGAGGGCUCGACAGAUGCUGAGUAGUGGGUGUAUCGCUUUCCUAGCGACUGUUGUGGAGGUACCUACGGUGGCGCCGGGACUUGAGGACAUCCCAGUAGUCCGCGAGUUUCCGGAUGUGUUUUACCCUCAGUUGACGACGUUGCCGCCGAAGAGGGAGGUUGAGUUUGUGAUUGAUGUAGUUUCUGGAACUGCACCAAUCUCAAAGGUACCUUAUCGGAUGGCGCCGGCAGAGCUGAGAGAGCUAAAGGCACAGCUUCAGGAUCUGAUGGAUAGAGGGUUUGUGAGACCCAGUGUGUCGCCUUGGGGAGCGCCGGUGUUAUUUGUAAAGAAGAAUGAUGGUUCGCUCAGGUUAUGUGUGGAUUACCGGGAGCUGAAUAAAGUGACCAUCAAGAAUAAGUAUCCCUUGCCGCGUAUUGAUGAUUUGUUUGAUCAGCUGCAAGGAUCUUAUGUCUUCUCAAAGAUUGAUCUCCAGUCGGGUUACCACUAGUUGAGGGUGAGGGCUGAGAAUGUUCCCAAGACGGCUUUCCGGACUCAGUACGGACAUUGUGAGUUCACGGUGAUGCCUUUUGGAUUGACGAAUGCCCCUGCCGCAUUCAUGAAUUUGAUGAACCGAGUGUUCAAGCCGUUCUUGGACAGGUUUGUGGUAGUCUUCAUUGAUGACAUAUUGAUAUACUCCCGGAGCGAUGCUGAGCAUGAGGAGCACUUGAGGACUGUGCUACAGCUUCUGCGAGAGAAGAAGUUGUAUGCCAAGUUAAAGAAGUGCGAGUUCUGGUUACGGGAGGUCACUUUCUUGGGCCACGUGAUAUCAGCAGAGGGAGUAGCAGUUGACCCGAAGAAGAUUGAUGCGAUUCGGGGUUGGCCUAGACCGACGACGGUGACAGAGGUGCGGAGUUUUCUUUGAUUAGCAGGAUAUUACCGUCGGUUUGUGGAAGGCUUUGCGAAGCUUUCCACACCUCUCACUCGAUUGACGCGCAAGGGGAUUAGAUUCACCUGGAGUGAGGAUUGUCAGAGGAGCUUUGAUAAGUUGAGACAGAGGUUGACGUCAGCUCCUAUCCUUGCCCUUCCUGUGAUGGGGGAAGGAUUUGUAAUCUACAGUGAUGCGUCGCACAGUGGACUCGGUUGUGUGUUGAUGCAGCAUGGUAGGAUAAUUGCUUAUGCUUCACGGCAAUUAAAGGAUUAUGAGAAGAAUUACCCUACGCAUGACUUGGAGCUUGCCGCGGUGGUUUUUGCUCUGAAGCUCUGGCGGCAUUACUUGUAUGGCGAGCACUGCGAGGUCUUCACCGAUCAUAAAAGUCUCAAGUAUCUGUUCACACAGAGAGAGCUGAACCUGAGGCAGCGCCGGUGGUUGGAGUUACUGAAGGACUAUGACAUUAGUAUUCAGUAUCAUCCCGGCAGGGCGAAUGUUGUCGCAGAUGCGUUGAGCAGGAAGUCAGUGCAGAGCCUGAGUUUGAGAAUCACUGAGCAGAGACCCCUUCUCGAGGAGCUGCAGCGGCUGGGACUCGAGAUAGUACCCCCUGGGUCUACGGCGAGGCUGACGUCUCUAGUUUUACAGCCCACUCUGUUGGAUAGGAUCCGAGAGAAACAGAGUGGAGAUCCGUACUUGAUGAGGAUUAGAGAGCAGCUAAACAGGGGGCAGGGUGAGGGUUUUGGUUUAGACAGUUCGGGAGUACUACGGUACAGGGACCGACUGUGUGUGCCUGUGGAUUCUGAGAUUCGAGCAGACAUUCUGAGAGAGGCUCAUUGUUCUCCUUAUACGGUUCACCCUGGGAGAAUCAAGAUGUAUAAGGAUCUUAAGGCACGGUUCUGGUGGCCUGGAAUGAAGAGGAACAUUGGCAGAUUUGUGGUUCAGUGUUUGACUUGCCAACAGGUGAAGGCCGAGCAUCAGGUGCCUGCUGGCAAGCUUCAGAGUCUGCCAGUGCCCGAGUGGAAGUACGAGUACAUCACGAUGGACUUCGUCGUUGGAUUGCCUAGAGGGCAAGGAGGCUACGACGCGAUUUGGGUGAUAGUGGACAGACUGACCAAGUCUGCUCACUUCCUACCGGUUCAGACUACCUGGUCCAGAGAGAGAUUCGCGCAGCUAUACCUGGAUGAGAUUGUCUGGCUACACGGCGUGCCGGUAUUGAUUGUGUCAGACAAAGACCCGAGAUUUGUAUCUCAGUUUUGGAGGAGUCUACAGACAGCCUUGGGCACUCCGCUGCAUUUCAGCACGGCGUUCCACCCACAGACAGAUGGUCAGUCAGAGAGAACCAUACAAACUCUAGAGGACAUCCUGAGAGCAUGCGUCCUGGAUUUUGGAGGAGGGUGGUAUCGGCAUUUGAGACUGACUGAGUUUGCGUACAACAACAGCUAUCAAACGAGCAUCCAGAUGGCUCCGUUUGAGGUGUUGUAUGGACGGAGAUGUCGAUCCUCUUUGUUCUGGAGCGAUGUGGCUGAGAGGACUUUAGGACCUGAGAUUUUGCUAGAGGCUGAGGAAAAGGUGAGAGUUGUUCGACGACACCUUUUGACAGCCUAGAGCAGCCAGAGGAGCUACGCCGAUAUCAGGAGACGAGACUUAGAGUUUCAGAUUGGAGAUCAUGUUUUCCUCAAAGUCUCGCCGUCCAGAGGGAUACGUCGAUUUGGGGUACGUGGAAAGCUCAGUCCACGAUUCGUUGGCCCUUUCGAGGUAUUGGAACGAGUUGGACCAGUUGCUUACAGGAUAGCUCUACCCCCGCGACUUGCUGGCAUCCACAAUGUUUUCCACGUCUCAACUUUGAGGAGAUACGUUUUCGAUCCCUCUCACGUGAUCGACUUCACUCCACUCGAGAUUGGCGAGGAUCUAAGAUACGAGGAGCGACCGUUGCGGAUUCUUGCUCGAGAGACAAAAGAAUUGCGCAACCGGAUCAUUCCGUAUGUGAAAGUGUAGUGGAGCAAUCACGAGGAGCGGGAGGCGACUUGGAAGCCUGAGACAGUGAUGAGGGAGUCUUACCCAGACUUGUUUGAUUCUUCAAGUUGAGGUAUGUGCUAAGUUUCGAGGACGAAACUUUUUGUAGUGGGGGAGAAUGUAGUAUCCUUAUAUAUAUAUAUAUAUAUAUAUAUAUAUAUAUAUAUAUAUAUAUAUAUAUAUAUAUAUAUAUAUAUAUAUAUAUAUAUAUAUAUAUAUAUAUAUAUAUAUAAUGCCACGUGCCCCCAUGCAUGUAUUUCAUGCUUAUCUAAUUAGGGGGUUGUACAUGCCUCCUUAAUUAAAAUUUCCUCCCUCUCUGUCUCUGGAGCCAUACGCGAGGAGGAGGAGCUUGGGUGGAGCGUUCGUCGCCGACGUCGCAUCGCCAAGCCGUUUGAGCGCACGUUUGUCGCCGUAGCGUCGCGUGGAGGCCGGGCAAGGGUGCGUUUUCGCCGUCCUCGACGUCGCACCGGCGCUGGAUUCGCUGUCGAUGUGGGUACCUAACUUUCCUCCUUGGAUUACUUGAAUGCAUGAUUUUGAGCUCGCGUGCUGAUUUUAUUGAUUUUCAGCGUCGACCGUCAGUGUUUCGGCUCGUACUCUGCGUAGGAACGUCGGAUUUCGACGGGACUUGGUUCGUUGGAUUCAGGACGUCGAGAGGAAUCCACGAAGCCCUUAUUUGCUGGAUUGUGCCGAGGUAGUUCCAGCAGUAUAGUGAUUCAAUCAAGCUAAAAAGCCUGAUUGAGCUCGACAGAGAUACGCUGCAUACUCGGUUGGGUAGCUCCCACGAGUGCCACUCCGAAGAUGGGCGCUGUGCUUUCGCGUUGGUGUCGCUCAUGCCGGUUGGACUUGCUCUCCACGGACUAGUAGUGUGGAGGUAGCUGGAUAGUCACAACUAAGCAGGGACGGGUGUGUUCACAGUCCCAGGGACGGGUAUGCUUACAGUCCCGAUUGGAUUGGGUCAGAUUUGACAUUUCCUACAGUUGGUUAGUGUAGAGCAUGAUAGUGUAGUGAUUCAUAGCGGUAGAUUUCAUUCCUGUAUUUACUACUAUCCUGGCUCCCUUCUAUAGAUUUAGUGGAUGGAC